GGGUGAGUUGACGUAUAGUGCCGUUAAUGAGCUGCUUACCUGAAUGCCCUGGAAGGUCCAGAAUACGUUUUAAGUCCACCUGACAUUUGUCAGCAGAGGCUCUCGGGAGACUCCAUAACCCGGAUGAAGGUCAAAGGGCAAACUGCAGCAUCUUUGCAGGGGGCGACAUCUGUCUGUCAAAGUUGGAAGGGCACCACUAUAAGAACAAGCCUGACAGGAAAAAGUAAAGUCGCGUGUGGAGGAGCUGCUGUUGCUGCUGCUGCUCGGAAGGUAAACGGAAAGGGUCACUGAAGAAGAAGAGGAGGAGGAGGAGGAGGAGCGGAGGCAGAGGGUGGAAAAGAGAAGCCGUCGGAUGAGAGAGAGAGAGAGAGAUGAGAGAGAGAGACUUGUGGCAUUUGGUGUAAGGCAAAGUCCAUAGAGCCUCGUGCGCCGCGCGAAGAAGAAGAGUGAGUGAGUGCACUAGAUCGCAGGCUCCCGGAGUCUACGGACGUUGUUGGGUGUUCUCUCUCUCUGCCUGGCUCACACGAAGAGCGGCCGCCGUGGGAGUCGCUCGCGCCACAGCAUCGACCCCUCGUUCGCUCGCUGUCUGGCUGUUGAGACUCUGCUCUGCUCAAGCUCUGCACUGCUGUAGUACAGCAGCAUCAAAACCAUUGUGGUCCUACUACAGCUUCCUACUCAGUUUACAACACUGAAAAUUGUGUCGUUAAAUAAUCGCAUUUUCAACAACUGAAGUCUCUCAUUUUUAUUUACAUUUUCAUUCGAGAAUUUAGAACUUAAGGAACUUCGUUAUUUUUAUAUUGCGAAGUUUCUACCGGAAUUUUAUUUUACUUUUUUGAUGAAGUGGUUUUUUUUUUAUUAUUUUAUUUUCGUUAAUCGUGCGUGACAGAGUUUUGUGAUGACGCCAACAUGUGGAUGACGGUAGAGAUAAUAGUAUGUUGCAAAGGCGAUAUUGACUUGAGUGCGUUUUUCGAGAGCGUUAACGGGACUUCUGUAAAAUAGAGUGAUAUUGGAAAAAAUUAAAACGGAGGAUUGGUCAAUUGUUUCAGACGAUUUGUUAUAAAAAUGUGUAAACGGACAUAGAAAAGUUAUUGAUAAAUGAUACAUCUAGUGACAGUUUUAUAAUGUAAGAUGAGAAAACAUUGAAAAAAAAAAUAUAUGAAUUUGCAUUUGGCAUUUUAUUGAAACGAAACCAAAUAAACUUUGAAAAAUAAAGGAUUAAGUUUAAGCGUUCAUAGAGUUCAAACCUUUUGUGUAAAAGUAGUAGAUUUGUACUUAGUGACAUUGAAAUUCCACGAAAUUUGGAACAUAACAAGAAAAUAAACUGAACAUUGGAAGCAAGUGCCACCGUCUCCUUCCUUAGCUAAGAAGACUCGUUCAUCUUCUGCAGUAGUGGGAGAACUGCAUCCCACCCCUGUCAAAUUUUGCCCACUCCAGAGCGUGUUGCUGCCCUCCUCCUCCUCCUCCUCCUCUCCUCCUCCUCACACA